AUUGAACGCUGGCGGAAUGCUUUACACAUGCAAGUCGAACGGCAGCACGGACUUCGGUCUGGUGGCGAGUGGCGAACGGGUGAGUAAUACAUCGGAACGUGCCCAAUCGUGGGGGAUAACGUAGCGAAAGCUACGCUAAUACCGCAUACGAUCGAAGGCUGAAAGCGGGGGAUCGCAAGACCUCGCGCGCUUGGAGCGGCCGAUGGCAGAUUAGGUAGUUGGUAGGGUAAAGGCGUAGCAAGCCGCCGAACUGUAGCUGGUCUGAGAGGAUGAUCAGCCACACUGGGACUGAGACACGGCCCAGACUCCUACGGGAGGCAGCAGUGGGGAAUUUUGGACAAUGGACGCAAGUCUGAUCCAGCCAUUCCGCGUGCAGGACGAAGGCCCUCGGGUUGUAAACUGCUUUUGUACAGAACGAAAAGGCUCUGGUUAAUACCUAGGGCUCAUGACGGUACUGUAAGAAUAAGCACCGGCUAACUACGUGCCAGCCGCCGCAGUAA
rnacentral:rRNA from 1 species